rnacentral:rRNA from 1 species
GCCUAAAUGCUAAAGACACCAGAUCCCAUCUGACCUUAGUUUAGUUAAGAAGUGUUAGUCAUGGUUAGUACUUGGAUGAGAGACCGCCAAGGAAUACCAGGCACUGUAAGCU